GGCCUCGUGGCCCAAUGGCAAGGCGUCUGACUACGACUGAACUCACAGUACAUGUGAUAUCCCAUGAUAAUCAGGAGAUUCUGGGUUCGACCCCCAGCGAGGUCA